rnacentral:rRNA from 1 species
UUAAUCCUACGGGGGGCAGCAGUGAGGAAUAUUGGUCAAUGGGCUUACGCCUGAACCAGCCAAGUCGCGUGAGGGAAGACUGCCCUAUGGGUUGUAAACCUCUUUUGCCGGGGAGCAAGGGCGGGGACGUGUCCCGGCCCGGAGAGUACCCGGAGAAAAAGCAUCGGCUAACUCCGUGCCAGCAGCCGCGGUAAUACGGAGGAUGCGAGCGUUAUCCGGAUUUAUUGGGUUUAAAGGGUGCGUAGGCGGGCAUUUAAGUCAGCGGUAAAAAUUCGGGGCUCAACCCCGUCCGGCCGUUGAAACUG